rnacentral:rRNA from 1 species
AUUGAACGCUGGCGGCAUGCCUUACACAUGCAAGUCGAACGGUAACAGGUCUUCGGAUGCUGACGAGUGGCGAACGGGUGAGUAAUACAUCGGAACGUGCCCGAUCGUGGGGGAUAACGAAGCGAAAGCUUUGCUAAUACCGCAUAAGAUCUACGGAUGAAAGCAGGGGACCGCAAGGCCCUGCGCGAACGGAGCGGCCGAUGGCAGAUUAGGUAGUUGGUGGGAUAAAAGCGUACCAAGCCGACGAUCUGUAGCUGGUCUGAGGGGACGACCCGCGACACUGGGACUGAGACACGGCCCAGACUCCUACGGGAGGCAGCAGUUGGGAAUGUUGGACAAUGGGCGAAAGCCUGGUCCAGCCAUGCCGGGUGCAGGAUGAAGGCCUUCGGGUUGUAAACUGCUUUUGUACGGAACGAAAAGACUCUUUCUAAUAAAGAGGGUCCAUGACGGUACCGUAAGAAUAAGCACCGGCUAACUACGUGCCAGCCGCCGCCGUAA